rnacentral:rRNA from 1 species
GACGAACGCUGGCGGCGUGCCUAAUACAUGCAAGUUGAGCGCUGAAGGUUGGUGCUUUUACUCACUGGAUGAGCAGCUAACGGGUGAGUAACGCGUGGGGAAUCUUCCUUUGAGCGGUGGACAACAUUUGGAAACGAAUGCUAAUACUGCAUCAAAACUUUAAACACAAGUUUUAAGUUUUAAUCAUGCCUUUCCAUCACUCAAAGAUGAUCCCGCGUUUGAUUAGUUAGUUUGUGAGGGAAACGCUCACCAAGGGGAAGAUACAUAGCCGAGCCGGGAGGGAGAUUGGGCAAAAUGGGAAUUGGAAACGGCCCAAAAUCCUAAGGGAGGGAGCAGUAGGGAAUUAUCGGCAAUGGAGGAAAGGCUGAACGAGCAACGCCGGGUGAGUGAAGAAGGGUUUCGGAGCGUAAAACUCUUUUGGUAGAGAAGAACGAGGGGGAGAGUGGAAAGCUCAUGAAGUGACGGUAACUACACAGAAAGGGACGGCUAACUACGUG